rnacentral:rRNA from 1 species
CUUCGGUGGUACUCGAGCGGCGAACGGGUGAGUAACACGUGAGUAAUCUGCCCCUGGCUUUGGGAUACCACCGGAAACGGUGAUUAAUACCGGAUAUGACAUGGACUCGCAUGGGUUUGUGUGGAAAGUUUUUCGGCCAGGGAUGUGCUCGCGGCCUAUCAGCUUGAUGGUGAGGUAAUGGCUCACCAUGGCUUCGACGGGUAGCCGGCCUGAGAGGGUGACCGGUCACACUGGGACUGAGACACGGCCCAGACUCCUACGGGAGGCAGCAGUGGGGAAUAUUGGACAAUGGGCGGAAGCCUGAUCCAGCAACGCCGCGUGAGGGAUGACGGCCUUCGGGUUGUAAACCUCUUUCAGUACCGACGAAGCGCAAGUGACGGUAGGUACAGAAGAAGCACCGGCCAACUACGUGCCAGCAGCCGCGGUAAUACGUAGGGUGCGAGCGUUGUCCGGAAUUAUUGGGCGUAAAGGGCUCGUAGGCGGUUUGUCGCGUCGGGAGUGAAAACGCCGUGCUUAACACGGCGCUUGCUUUCGAUACGGGCAGACUAGAGGUAUGCAGGGGAGAACGGAAUUCCUGGUGUAGCGGUGAAAUGCGCAGAUAUCAGGAGGAACACCGGUGGCGAAGGCGGUUCUCUGGGCAUUACCUGAC